CUUCAGCUCAAUGAAGUGGUAUGGGCGCCAGGUCCCUCAGGUUUUAACCCUUCAGAUGUAAACAUAGCAGUUUCAGAGAAACUGCUAUAUUUACAUAGCAGGGUUAAUCCAGCCUCUAGUGGCUGUCUUUCUGACAGCCGCUAGAGGCGCUUCUGCGACGCUGGAUGCGAAAUUCGCAUCCAGCGUGCAGAAUGUCCAUAGGAAAGCACUUGCCGCGCAUGUGCAUUCUGCUCCACUCGGGAGCUGACGCCGGUGGGGGAGGAGAGGUCACCAGCGCCGAGGGAGCCCGGCACUGGAUUAAGGUAAGUAACUGAAGGGGUUUUAAAGCCUUCAACGCCAAGGGAGGGGGACCCUGAGAGUGGGGGGGAGGGGAGGAUCCUAAGGAUGAUAUAGUGUCAGGAAAAUGAGUUUGUUUUCCUGACACUAUAGUGAUCCUUUAAUGGAGUGGAUUUGGUGUAUAGAUCAUGCCCCAAUAGUCUAACUUACACAUUUCACAAUCUCUGCAAUUUUGAAAUUAAAUCACUUCGUUUAUGCAGUCCUAGUCACACCUUCCCUGUCUGAGACACUACAUACAAGUACACCACUAGUUUCCAAUGACAACACCACAUACAAAUACACCCCUACAUUCACAGAUAUACUUCAUACAAAAACAUGGAGUGCUUGCAAAUCAUUCUGUAGAUGGAUAAAACAGUACCUUUACAUCUUACAAUUAAAGAUAAAAUAUUGAUGGCUUAAUAAGUUGUAGACAGCAAUCCCACCACCACCUCCAUAUACAUUCAAAUUACCCAUGUGCCGUACACAAUUCUAUAUUCCCUGAAGUUGUCUCUGACCACCUGUCCGUAAUGUGGCGUAUGACACUUUGCCAAGAGGCUUCUGUUUCAUCAAUGAUAUCUCCAAGCAAAUUCAUAGAAAUAUUUUUCCAGUUUUCUGAUAUGUUAUUUAGAUUAUAAAGAAAUUAUUGAGGCCUAGGGCAGUAAUAUUAACUGGGGAAC